GCCGGCGCGCGGGGAUGGGCCUGCGUCCUAUCAGCUAGUUGGUAGGGUAACGGCCUACCAAGGCGUCGACGGGUAGCUGGUCUGAGAGGAUGAUCAGCCACACUGGCACUGAAACACGGGCCAGACUCCUACGGGAGGCAGCAGUGAGGAAUUUGCGCAAUGGCCGAAAGGCUGACGCAGCAACGCCGCGUGGGUGAAGAAGGCCUUCGGGUCGUAAAGCCCUGUCAAGUGGGAAGAAUGGCCGGGGAGUUAGUAGCGUCCCGGUUUGACGGUACCACUGGAGGAAGCACCGGCUAACUCCGUGCCAGCAGCCGCGGUAAUACGGAGGGUGCGAGCGUUAUUCGGAAUUACUGGGCGUAAAGCGCGUGCAGGCGGGCCGGCAAGUCUGAUGUGAAAGCCCCGGGCUCAACCCGGGAAGUGCAUUGGAUACUGCUGGUCUUGAGUCCUGGAGAGGAAGGGGGAAUUCCCGGUGUAGAGGUGAAAUUCGUAGAGAUCGGGAGGAAUACCAGUGGCGAAGGCGCCCUUCUGGACAGUGACUGACGCUGAGACGCGAAAGCGUGGGGAGCAAACAGGAUUAGAUACCCUGGUAGUCCACGCUGUAAACGAUGAGC
rnacentral:rRNA from 1 species